UACGUAGGGGGCAAGCGUUGUCCGGAUUUAUUGGGCGUAAAGAGCGUGUAGGCGGCCAUACAGGUCAGCUGUGAAAACUCGAGGCUCAACCUCGAGACGUCGGUUGAAACCGUAUGGCUAGAGUCCGGAAGAGGAGAGUGGAAUUCCCGGUGUAGCGGUGAAAUGCGCCAGAUAUCGGGAAGAACACCCGUGGCGAAGGCGGCUCUCUGGGACGGUACUGACGCUGAGGCACGAAAGCCAGGGGAGCGAACGGG
rnacentral:rRNA from 1 species